rnacentral:pre_miRNA from 1 species
UGACUUUCUAUCAGGAAAAGUAUUUGAAGUGUCAUUUGUUGAGCAGUCAAAUGGAUAUUCGAAUAAAGGUGGUGUGUCUGGGGUGAUUAUGUUCGGUUUUAUCUUUGGGUUGUCUCUCUACUCUAAAGAGAGAUCAAAGGGGUUAAAACCGAGUAUAAUACCUUUGUCUGAGAGUUCGGUCGAUUGCUCGAUAGACGACACUUCAAAGAUUUCUCCCAAGAGAGUU